GGAAUUUAUUUUUUUGCAUUUCAUUCAAUGUACCAGAUGGCAUAAGCAUAUCAUGAUCGAAAACUGCCAUUAAAUCAAUGCACCAAAUGGAAAAAGAAGAUCAUUACAGAAGGCUGCCACUGAAUCAUUUAAUAUAUUUGCCCAUUAAAGAAAAAUGUGCGCCCAUAUAAGAAUACCUGCUGAAAAGAUGUACCAAUGGGCCUCAAUAUUUGU
rnacentral:misc_RNA from 1 species